ACUCAAAUGAAUAGACGGGGACCCGCACAAGCGGUGGAUGAUGUGGAUUAAUUCGAUGCAACGCGAACAACCUUACCUACCCUUGACAUGUCUGGAAGCCUGCUGAAAGGCGGGUGUGCCCGAAAGGGAACCGGAACACAGGUGCUGCAUGGCUGUCGUCAGCUCGUGUCGUGAGAUGUUGGGUUAAGUCCCGCAACGAGCGCAACCCUUGUCCUUAGUUGCUACGCAAGGGCACUCUAAGGAGACUGCCGGUGACAAACCGGAGGAAGGUGGGGAUGACGUCAAGUCCUCAUGGCCCUUAUGGGUAGGGCUUCACACGUCAUACAAUGGUCGGUACAGAGGGUAGCCAACCCGCGAGGGGGAGCCAAUCCCAGAAAGCCGAUCGUAGUCCGGAUCGCAGUCUGCAACUCGACUGCGUGAAGUCGGAAUCGCUAGUAAUCGCGGAUCAGCAUGUCGCGGUGAAUACGUUCCCGGGUCUUGUACACACCGCCCGU
rnacentral:rRNA from 1 species